rnacentral:rRNA from 1 species
GACGAACCGUGCGAACGUUAUUCGGAAUCACUGGGUUUAAAGGGUGCGUAGGUGGGCAGGUAAGUCAGUGGUGAAAUCUCUGGGCUUAACUCAGAAACUGCCAUUGAUACUAUCUGUCUUGAAUACCGUGGAGGUCAGCGGAAUAUGUCAUGUAGCGGUGAAAUGCUUAGAUAUGACAUAGAACACCAAUUGCGAAGGCAGCUGGCUACACGAAUAUUGACACUGAUGCACGAAAGCGUGGGGAUCAAACAGG